GAUGAACGCUGGCGGCGUGCCUAAUACAUGCAAGUCGAGCGAACGGACGAGAAGCUUGCUUCUCUGAUGUUAGCGGCGGACGGGUGAGUAACACGUGGAUAACCUACCUAUAAUACUGGGAUAACUUCGGGAAACCGGAGCUAAUACCGGAUAAUAUUUUGAACCGCAUGGUUCAAAAGUGAAAGGCGGUCUUGCUGUCACUUAUAGAUGGAUCUGCGCUGCAUUAGCUGGUUGGUAAGGUAACGGCUUACCAAGGCAACGAUGCAUAGCCGACCUGUGAGGCUGAUCGGCCACCCGAGAACGUAGCCACGCACCAGGGUACUAAGAUAGGCCGCAGUAGCGAAUGUGACGCAACGGGCGGAAAUCUGACGGAGCGAGGGCGAGUGAGUGAUGGAGAUCCUCGGUGCGUAAAACCCUGUUAUGAGGGAAGAACCUAUUUGUAAGGAACUGUGCACAUCUUGACGGUAACUGGUCAGAAAGCCCCGGCUAACUACGUG
rnacentral:rRNA from 1 species